AAGGCUUUGCAAUGAAUGAAUAUCACACACUCUCUCCUAAUAAUAUGACGAGUGGUCUGUUCUGCGGCUGACUCUUCCCAUCCCCAUCUCCUCUCCCUCCACAUUUUUUCACUGCCCCGCCCAUGAAUGGCGAUGUAGCUCCGGCCGCCACUCCGGCCACUUCAGCUGAGCCCCAAUACAUCAGGGCUAAGACUUCUGUUUGGUGGGACAUCGAGAACUGUCAGGUCCCUAAGGGAUGUGAUCCUCACGCCAUCGCCCAAAACAUCAGUUUCUGCCCUCGUCAAAAUCAACUAUUGUGGCCCUGUCUCCAUUUCCGCUUAUGGGGAUACCAAUCGCAUUCCUAAUUCUAUUCAGCAGGCUCUUUCUAGUACUGGCAUCGCUUUGAAUCAUGUUCCUGCUGGUGUUAAAGAUGCAAGUGAUAAGAAGAUUCUAGUCGAUAUGUUGUUUUGGGCAGUUGAUAACCCUGCUCCUGCAAAUUAUUUGCUAAUUUCGGGUGAUAGGGAUUUUUCUAACGCACUUCAUCAAUUAAGAAUGAGAAGAUAUAAUAUUCUUCUUGCGCAGCCACAAAAGGCUUCUGCACCACUAGUAGCAGCAGCAAAGAGUGUUUGGCUUUGGAUGAGUCUUGUAGCUGGUGGACUUCCAAUAUCCAGUACUGAAUCAUCUCAACUUGUGAAUGGUAUCCCUACUUCUGAACCUCAAAUAUCUCAGACCUCUGGAUUUGAUCAUAAUCAGCACACAGGACAAGCUAUAGUAUACAAACCUGAAAAUGUCAAUUUGGGUAACCAAAGAUCUUAUUCUACCGAGAGGAUGGGUGACAAUAAACAUAAAGGUAAAUAUGUACAGAAAAACUCCAACCAACCAGUUAUAUCCAGAGCUUUAAGCUCACCUGCGUCUAUGCAAGAGAAAAACCCUAAUUUUUUAAACCAACCAAAUCAUAUGCAAGCAAAGCAGUUUAAGAAAGCACCCCAUGAAUUCUUUGGAAAUGGCAAUCCUGUAGGCUCUUCUAGUCAAUCCAUUCCAAACUUGUUUAUUGAAAAUUCCAGCCAUGCUAGGAUUGAUGGCAAUGGUUCAAUGGGUAGUUCCUCAUGUUACCAACCUUCUCACCUGGCUCAUGCUAGGUCUGAUGGCAAUAUUUCAAUGAGUAAUUCCUCAAGUUACCAACCUCCUCAUAUGAGGCAAAACAACAUGCAGCUCCAUCCUCCUUUUCGACCGGAUAAUGUUUUUCCUCCUAACUCUCUUAAUCAUAAUCCUUUUCCAGUCCUUGGUCAACCUGAUCUCCCUGCACCCAAUAUUAGUCAGCUACAUAUCUCUGAUUAUCCCAAUUAUCCUAUAAAUCCUCAAAAUUUCCAUCAACAAACUGGUGAAUUUAGACCACAUUCUAAGUCUCAAAAUCCUGCUAACUUUAAUGCCCCUGACAAAAGCCGUAGUCAUCAUGGUGGCCAAUCAUUCCAUCAUGAUGCAUUGAAUAAAAGACAUGCCCGUGAUGCAGUAGAGUAUACACCUCAUUCAUCUUUUACCACUGUUACUAGAAGUUUAUCUCAUAACGAUGGCUGGGGAUCUCAGGGGCAACCACCACCAUCAGAGUACAUUCAAGGCCUCAUUGGAGUUAUUCUUCUUGCAUUGAACACCCUGAAAGUGGAAAAAAUUAUGCCAAAGGAGGAAAAUAUAGCUGAGUGCAUACGAUAUGGAGAUUUGAGAAACUGCAAUACUGAUGUAAAAAUGGCACUAGAUAGUGCGAUAGAGCAUAAUAUGGUAGUGAAGCAGGAGAUAGGAGAACUGCAACUGUAUGUUGGUAAAACAGAAAAACUGUGGAAAUGUGUGAACCCUCUAGGUGGGUAUCCUAAUCAGUACCCAAAAGCCAUAUGGGAUAAGAUUCAUUAUUUUUUAGCUUCUCCAGCUGGUCGUUCUGCAAUGAUGGCUUCACGUUGCAGAUAUGAAGCAGCAUUGAUUCUGAAGAAAGAAUGCUUAACAGAUUUUGCUUUGGGCGAUGUGCUUCAGAUUUUGCAUAUGAUAACCUCCAUGAAGAAAUGGAUUACUCAUCAUAAUUCAGGAUGGCAGCCAAUUAAUAUUAUACUAGCAGAAGGUAAUACAGAUGCAAGUUCAAGAACUGAACUUGAUUGAUCAACACAAAUACCGAUUUAGUUAAAGAAAAAUACCCUCGAACUGCCGCUAUGAAGGCUGAUUAAGGUGUGAUAUUAGCACAUUGAAGGAGGGGAGUAUUAUUACAAUUGAUACCAGAAGCUACUGGAAUUACAGAUGUUUAAAACCUCAAGGUUUGCCUAUUCUGUUCUUUUACUUUUACGUUACUGGAGAAAAUAUUCCCGUGUUGAAGUGCCUGUAAAACCUUGGAACCAAUAGUCUAUGAAGAUCAUCCUAGGUGCAGGACUACCAUUUUAAGUUUCUUUCUGGAAGGAAUUGGUUUGUUCACGUGUUUUUCUCGUCUUCUCAGCAAGUUGUACAUUUGAUGCCUGUUUUGAGACGCUAUAAGUUUGUCAUCUAUGGCGCUGGACAGUGUUUUAAAAAGCGCCCUAAGGCGCGCGCCUAGGCGCGCCUAGGCUCAAGGCGCCCACUUGGGGCUUAUUUGUGAGGAGGCGCAGCGAAUUAUAAAAAGCCCAUAUUAGGCGCGCGCCUCCCUUGAGGCGCGCCUAGGCGCAAGUCGAAUUAGGCGUGGGCUUUUUUUUAUAAGUUAUGGGCUGGGCUUUAAUUAUAAAAAACUAUUAUUAUUUAGGUUUUUUAAACCUAUUACGUAAACGUGAAGAAAGAACCCUUCUCCUUUCGCGCGUGAAGUUUCUUCAACACGACUCUUCAUCUACUUCUUCAGUUCUUCGUCUUCCGUUCUGCUUCUACUUCAGUUCUUCGUCUUCGUCUUCCGUUUGCUUCCUUUUCCACCCUUCCAUUCCGGCCACCCUUUCUUCUUCACACAAAACGAGUGCUGCGGCUGCCAUUACUCUGUUUUUUGGUGCACACGACUCUUCAUCUACUUCUUCAGUUCUUCGUCUUCCGUUCUGCUUCUACUUCAGUUCUUCGUCUUCGUCUUCCGUUUGCUUCCUUUUCCACCCUUCCGUUCCGGCCACCCUUCUUCUUCACACAAAACGAGUGCUGCGGCUGCCAUUACUCUGUUUUUUGGUGCAAAAACAGAGGAAAAGAGAAGACAAUAAUAUUCUGUGCUACAGUGCUGCUAGUGCUUCAGUUUUCGCCUCCUCCAUCUCAGCUUUAUCACGGGUUAGUAUCUCAAUCGUUCAGUUAACAUCUGCAUUGCUUUCUCCUUCUUCUGUAACUCUUUGACAAGAACAUCAAACUCCAUUGUUUUCUGUUUUCAUAGCAUGGUAUACCCAUUGAGUUAGAAAAAACUCUCUAAAGUCUACAUCUUCUUCUUCUUAUACUUCUCAACUUCAACUUCCUUCGAUAACCCAUCAAACUCAACCUUCAUCCCAUCCAUCUCACAACACACUCCCCUCCAAUCCUCCAUUUAUAACAACUUCAUCCCAUCCCAUCCCAUCCAAAGGGACAAAAUAUCUCCAGUGGAAUGGUGGGAUAAUUUUGGACAAUCAACUCCAAACUUGCAAAAGUUUGCUGUGAGAAUUUUAGGUCUUACUUGUAGUGCUUCUGGAUGCGAGCGUAAUUGGAGUGUGUUUGAACAGCUUCAUAGCAAGAAACGAAAUAGGCUUGCUCAAAGUCGUUUGAAUGAUCUAGUGUUCAUCAAAUACAACAGAGCACUAAAACGUCGAUACAACCUACGAGAUAUUGUCGACCCCAUCUCCUUGAAAGAUAUUGAUGAUAGUAAUGAAUGGUUGAUUGGAAGAUUGGAUGACGAUUCUGAGGAGGAUGAUGAGUUGGUAUUUAAUGAUGAUUCUUUAACGUGGGGUGAUGUUUCUAGAGCUGUCGGAGCAAAAGAACCAUCAUUCUAUUCUAGAGCUAGUACCUCUAGACCAAAGACUAUUGUUUCAUGUUCAUCCUCGUCUACCACGCAACGGAAACAAGUAAAUUUAGAUGACUUCGAUUUGGAAGAAGAAGAUACUGAUGGCUAUAAGUCUAACGAAGGAUUGAAUGAAGACGAGGAUCAAUUUAGUGAUGAUGAGUUUGAUCUUUAGGGAUGAACUUUUAUUUUGAUUAUUGACUUGUUGAAUACUGGGUAGUUUUUUGUUGUGUUUUGUUGUUUAGGCUACUUAUAUUGGGUACCUAUAUUUUAUACAUUGUUGCUCUGCUAUAUGUGUGUAUAUAUAUUUUCUUCUCUUUUUAUAUAUAGUGCGCCUUAUGAAAAAAAGCUCGCGCUUUUUUUUGCGCCUUGCGCCUAGGCUCCAGAGGACCAAUGCGCCUUAGUGCGCCUUGAGCCUUUAAAAACAGAGGCGCUGGAUGUUCUAUUGUUUUGACUACACUAGGUUAGCUAGCUGCUUCAGGACUUUGUAUGUCACCAUGCCUUGUUUACUACAGAAGGAUAUUAGCAUAGAGGAAUCCACUGCCGGUGGAUCAGCUUGAAGAAGUCGGCCAGCAAAUUAAACAUGGAGCAUUCUGAAGGUUUCUUUUUCUUCUAUUCUUUUGGCCCCCAUAGAUAUCGACUUAGCACAUAAAAUGGUUUUGCCUUAUUUGUAUUACCCUAGGUUUCUAUGCUCUGUUCUUGCUUAUGGGAUUUGAUUGUAUGGGCACAGUGGUAUUCUUUGACUAUUUGUACUUCUUUCUACUUUCGAGAACAGAUAAAACUUUUAUAUGUUUUGAAGCAUAUGCUAUAAGACAACGUGGACACAAGGAAAUUAUUGGUUCACUUUUUUGAGAUGCUAUGAAUAAAUGAGCAUACCGUUCGUUUAUGAUU